CUUUACCCUAGCAAAGUACACCACUACCACACUGCAAAUCUGCAACAUCUAUAAAAAGGAACUCUCCAUAUCACAUUUUCUCCCUCUUAUCCCUCUCUCUCUGUAACACUUCGAUUUGUCUGCUUUCCACUUCACAAUCAUGGUGGCGGCGGCGGCAACUUCCUUCUCCAUCACCACCUCUACUCCUCCGUCCUCCUCCGCAUCAUCAACCAAAUCCCUAAAACCUUCGCUUGUUGGUAACUUAGGGUUUCUAUCCUCGUCAACUCCAUCGCUUAAGCCUCUCAGAGCUCAAGCCGCCGUUUCAUCUAGCAGCUCAAACUCCGGCGGAGGCGCGCUUGCGGCUCGCAUGGUCGCUGCACCUGCUACCGUCAAAGCUCCUGCUUCGUUUGAUUUUGAAACGUCCGUUUUUAAGAAGGAGAAAGUAACCCUAGCUGGAAAUGAUGAGUACAUUGUGAGGGGAGGUAGAGAUUUGUUCAAGUAUUUGCCUGAUGCUUUCAAAGGAAUCAAGCAGAUCGGAGUUAUCGGCUGGGGUUCUCAGGGACCUGCUCAAGCCCAGAACUUGAGGGAUUCUCUUGCAGAAAUAAAAUCUGACAUAGUUGUUAAGAUUGGUUUAAGAAAGGGUUCAAGCUCAUUUGCGGAGGCCCGCACAGCUGGGUUUACUGAAGAGAAUGGAACCCUUGGUGACAUAUAUGAGACUAUCUCUGGCAGUGAUCUAGUGCUGCUUUUGAUUUCUGAUGCUGCUCAGGCUGAUAAUUAUGAGAAAGUGUUCUCUCACAUGAAGCCAAACAGCAUACUUGGG
rnacentral:misc_RNA from 1 species